ensembl:antisense Gm20655 predicted gene 20655
AGAUCAGAUCUGUCGAUCUAAGUGGGGUGUGUCAUGGAGUAAGGUCCUGCGUCGAGGAGCAUAAGAAGCCUUAGAAGCUGGGAAGGCAACAAAACACUCUUCUCUCAAGCCUCCAGAGGGAUGCAGCCACACCAACAGCUUCACCUCAGACCCCAUGGAACUCAUUUUGGACUUUGACCUCCAGCACUGUAAAGGAGUAAGUUCACGUUUUUUAAAAAGCCUCUACCUCAGUGUCAGAUUGUUAAAGGGAAUGAAACGGAAGCUAACGUGCACCCCACUCCCAAGUGCUUCCCUACUUCCUGAGCUCGGGGUGCUGUAAGUCACAAUCACAGAAAGGGCUGAAAAGGGGUGCAGGAAAGGCAUGAUGGGAAGAAGCAGCCUGAGAAGGAGAAACUCUGACAGAGACACUGCAGUGACUGUUAAUCCUGGGAUUUGCCAGAGAAAAAACCCCAAGUCCACCAGCUCCGGGCAAAUUAAAGCUAGCUUUAUUAAAUAUUAAAUACUGACCACCAAAUCCUCGACUUUAAUCAGGACCAUUCCCUGGAGUUUCUCAGCUGGAAUGGCCUUGAGCCUGUGUAGCAGGGAUUUAUAAGGAUGACCUAUAGGCCAUCAUAGUUUCCUAUGAGGCUUUGUUAUUUUCUGAGAACUACAACUCCCAGCAUUCCCGGAAGUUACCUGGUCCUUGGGCAACUGGGGUUUACAGGUUAAUUUCGGGCCUUUCAUGGCAAACACAAUGAAACUGGUGAAAGAAAAUAAUAUUCUCUCCUUAAUCCUCACAUCGUGAAUAUUCGGUUAACACCACAAAUCAGAAGACAGCACAUCCUGGAUUGGAGCAAUCAACUCAAUCAGAUCUCCAAGUGCAGAUCAGUUCUAAACAAUUUUAAAUAAGGUACUGUUAGGGUACAUUUUGUGAAGGUAUGUUUCUGUGUCAUCAAUUGUUUAACGGGUACCUGCAGAGAGCUAAGUACUCGUCGCAUCUUGGUAUUGUUGUUUCCGUGGCCCAUCGCCAGCCUCAUAUUUUUGCAAACAUUCAUCCUUCCUUCCUUGCCUAUUGGAUGUAAUAAAAAACUGAUGGCCAAUAGCUGAGCAGGGACUAGGAGGCGGCACUUCCAGGCAGAGAUAGGAACUUCGGGAGAAGCAAUCAAAUGCAGGAGGUUCAUCAGGGAUCACAGAAGGGAUGAUUCAGGCCGGAGCAGAGAGGUAGACCUGGCCAUGUGACAAGAUGUAGGCCAGAAUUAGUCAGCUAGAGUCGUUGGGAGACUGCCAAGCUGAGGCAUUAAAAUAUUAUUGACUCCAUGUCAUUAUUUAUACAGCUGGGGGUGGGGUCCAUGAAAAGUCCCACUUUGAGGUGCAGGCCCUUUUAACAAAAUAGUUUCCAUUGAAACUAAUGGAAGAGGAAAUCUAAUGACAGGACUGUCUUAUUAUGUUAUUGUGUGUAUAUAUACAUACAAUAUGUACUAACAUGAAAACAGGCAUAGCUUUCUUAUACCUGUCCCUUUCUUUUCUCCCUGCCACUCCAUAGGGUUUCUCUGUAAGUUUCAAAGUGAGUGCCCACUUUUUAGACAAGACUAGCCUGCAACUCAGAGAGACCUGCCUGCCUCUGCCUCUCAAGUGCUGGGAUUAAAGGCGUGUGCCACCACCACCUGGCUAACCUUUCUUAGAGUUAUUAUAAAAUAUACAUUUUCAUAUAUGUAUCACUUUAAAAUUCCACAAAACUGAAUCACAGAAUGACCCAACUCUCUCUAAAGAUAUUUGCAUAGGAGUUGUGUGUUGCUAAACACCAUUAAUGCUAGUUCCCUAGGGUUUUUGUUGCUGUUGUUGUAAACAUCCUAUGAUAUUUUAAAUGUCAGGUGUGGUUCAGUCAGCUGCUUGACUGAUUGACAGCUGACAUAUUCUCUACCUUAACGUGGCUGUGUGGAGUAAGAGGCAUCUCAACUCUUAAACACAAAACAAAACAAAACAAAACAAAACAAAACAAAACAAACAAACAAACUUCUCUGGCCCUCCAGGAAUCACAUAACUUCAGCUUCACUAACAAUUGUGAUCAGGAUUGGAACUGACGCCAACAAGGUCUGCUUUGGGAGACCAUGCUCCAGCCGGGACCUCUUCCCACACAAUCUGUCUAAGAUUUGGAAGACUCUAGAUAACAAGGCUAGACAAACCUUGGUGAGCUCAGCAUCUCCUCCUGCUGUGACUCAGAAAAAAAAAAAAAAAGUCCAGUGACUGGUGGACGGGGACCCGAUCAUUGGUCUUUGUGUAGGGCUUGAGUCAGGUGGAAUCCGGAGCUGCAUAUGUGGAACUAGGAGUGGUGGAAUCAGACUGAACAUGUGCAUCUGGGCCCCUCUUCUGGCUGCUUAAACAGACUACUCUUUUCAGCCUGACCAUAGCCCUCCAGAGGCACAGACACCAAAUGGUAGAUGUUUUCUGUGGGACUUACUUUGUGAUCUGUAAGUGAAAAUGCUCACACAUUCACCCAUCGACAUCCUAGUAUGCUUGGUUUCUGAACACUUCCCGCCCUACCAAACUCUGCAGAUGUUUCCAACCUAUUAUGUAAAAUGGGACAUUGUUUACAUAUUUUAUAGCUAUGGUCUCCUGUUUGCUUUAAAUAAUUUCUAGGUUAUUUAUCAUACCUAGUAGAGUACACAUGGCAUGAAAAUGGCUGUUAUAGCAUGUUGUCUAGGGAUUAAGGACAAAGGAAAAAAAUCAAACAAUACAUGUUCAACAGGCACUUUCCCCCAUUAAGCGUUACAGAUAAAACCCAAAGCGUUGUGUACGUACUUCACCAUAACCUACACCUCAGCUAUCAGGCUCACUUAAAUGUCUUGGAUCUGUAAUGGAUUGAAUCUGUGGAUCUGGAAUUGGCAAAGACAGAACAUUAGCUGUAUUGCUGUCAACUUUUGACACUAUCUAUUGUGUUCCCAUAAUAAUAAAGGUGUUUGUUAUUUGC